rnacentral:misc_RNA from 1 species
CCUCCUUAUACGAUUUAGAACUUAUUUGUUCGUAGUGUCCACACAGAUGAUUGUUAGUUAGUUUUACCCUUUGGGUUAACUAAUUAAUAUGCUCUUUAAAAAUUUGGAAAGCUGAUAAUAAAAUUCGUAUGAAUAACAUUGUUAUUUAUACAGGGUUUUCAAAAGUAAAAAAGAAUGAUAGCAGUAUCAUUCAGUGCCAUUUAAUCACUCUUAUGAGUCGAUUGAUUGGUAUCUACUUUAGUAUUCAAUAUUAACUUCUGGCGAAGUUAAACUGUCACAAAACAAAGACCCGUUUGGGUUGUAUGGUUAAGUGACUAAGCGUACACGGUGGAUGCCUUGGCAGUUGGAGGCGAUGAAGGACGUAUUAACUUGCGAUAAGCCUAGUCAAGCUAGUAAAAAGCACUUGAGACUAGGAUUUCCGAAUGGGGA